rnacentral:rRNA from 1 species
GGUGUUCGCAAGAACGUAAGGUGUUGAGUCCAUGCUUCCAAGAAAAGCUUCUAAGUUUAGUCUAUGCAAACCGUACCGCAAACCGACUCAGGUGGGCGGGAUGAGUAAUCCAAGGCGCUCGAGAGAACUGUAGUUAAGGAAUUCGGCAAAAUGACCCCGUAACUUCGGGAUAAGGGGUGCUCUUUGUUGUUAGUUUCUUAGCGAAACAAAGCAACGGAGAGCCGCAGAGAAAUGGCGGUGGCGACUGUUUACUAAAAACAUAGGUCUAUGCAAAGUCGUAAGACGACGUAUAUGGACUGACGCCUGCCCGGUGCCGGAAGGUUAAGGGGAGUUGUUAGCGCAAGCGAAGCAGCGAACCGAAGCCCCGGUAAACGGCGGCCGUAACUAUAACGGUCCUAAGGUAGCGAAAUUCCUUGUCGGGUAAGUUCCGACCUGCACGAAUGGCGUAACGAUCUCCGCACUGUCUCAACUACAGACUCGGUGAAAUUGAAUUCGCGGUGAAAAUGCCGUGUACCCGCAGCAAGACGGAAAGACCCUGUGCACCUUUACUAUAGCUUGACAUUGGGUUUUGGGCUAGCAUGUGUAGGAUAGGUGGGAGGCUUUGAAGCAGGCACGCUAGUGUUUGUGGAGCCAUCCUUGAAAUACCACCCUUGCUAGUCUAAGGCUCUAAUCCUCUACCGUUAUCCGGUUAGGAAACAGUGUCUGGUGGGUAGUUUGACUGGGGCGGUCGCCUCCUAAAGAGUAACGGAGGCAUACAAAGGUUCGCUCAGACUGAUUGGAAACCAGUCGUUGAGUGCAAACGCAUAAGCGAGCUUGACUGCAAGAGAGACAUCUCGAGCAGGAACGAAAGUUGGUGUUAGUGAUCCGGUGGUUCCGCAUGGAAGGGCCAUCGCUCAUUGGAUAAAAGGUACGCCGGGGAUAACAGGCUGAUCGCGCCCAAGAGUUCACAUCGACGGCGCGGUUUGGCACCUCGAUGUCGGCUCAUCACAUCCUGGGGCUGAAGCAGGUCCCAAGGGUACGGCUGUUCGCCGUUUAAAGUGGUACGCGAGCUGGGUUUAAAACGUCGUGAGACAGUUUGGUCCCUAUCUGCUGUGGGCGUAGGAGACUUGAAAGGGCCUGCCCCUAGUACGAGAGGACCGGGGUGGACGAACCUCUGGUGGGUCAGUUGUCGUGCCAACGGCAUAGCUGAGUAGCUACGUUCGGAAGGGAUAACCGCUGAAAGCAUCUAAGCGGGAAGCCUGCCUUGAGAUAAGGUCUCCCUCUCUUUAAGAGCUAAAGGACCCUGGUAGACCACCAGGUUGAUAGGCUGGGUGUGUAAGGGCAGCGAUGCCUUCAGCUAACCAGUACUAAUAGUCCGUGAGCCUUAUUUU